GCCGGGCGUGGUGGCGCACGCCUGCAAUCCCAGCUACUCAGGAGGCUGACGCAGGAGAAUCGCUUGAAUCCAGGAGACAAAGGUUGCAGUGAGCCGAAAUCGCACCACUGCACUCCAGCCUGGGUGACAGAGCGAGACUCUGUCUCAA
ensembl:misc_RNA Metazoa_SRP Metazoan signal recognition particle RNA